UUUUUUUUUUUUUUUUUUCGGACAGUAGAUUGAAGGGUACAGUGAAAAGGUAAGGUUUUUAUAUGACAAACUUACCAUAGACAGACUUAAGUAGACUAAAAAGGAUGAAAAGAACUACAGAAGAUUAAAAGAGAAACCCUCAUGGCAGCUCCAGUAUUAAGUCUCCCUGACCUAAAAAAAAGGCUCUUCCAGCUCUUUAUAGAUGUGAGCUGUAUGCAAUAUACAAGGCUUUGCUGGGACUUAAAGGGAAAAAGGGGACAACUUUCACUGAUUCCAAAUAUGCAUUUGGGUGGUGUACACCUUUGGGAAAAUCUGGGAAGAAAGAGGUCUGCUAAACACAUGGGGAAAGGGAUUGAUUCAUGAAGAAAUAAUUAAACAAAUCCUUAAAGCUAUUAGAGGGCCAGAAGCUAUUGCUAUAGUCCAUGUAAAAGGACACCAAACCGGGAUGCAGUUCAGGACUCAGGGGAACAAUUUAGCAGACAAAGAGGCAAAAAGCACUGCUUUGCUAAAGGUAAGUGCCCCAGAGAUUGAAAAAAGGGGACGCUCAGGAAUUCCCCCCCCACCCCUCUGAAACGGAGAUGGAGGCUUAUCGGAAGAUCGGGAGACAGUUAGAAGGAGGUAAGUGGAAGUUACCAGAUGGGAGGGGAUUGUUGUCAAAGGAAUACACUAGGAAGAUUUUAAAAAGAUUACACCAACAGACACACUGGGGGGCCCGAGCUCUGGCAGAGCAGUUCCUGAAAUUCUUCAGCUGCAAAGGUAUAUGUGAAUUGGCUAAACAAGAGGUGCAAGGGUGCAUAACUUAGAAAAAAAUAAUAAAUCAUACAAACUCCCAAAGGUGAAAGGGGAGUCGUCCAGCAGCUUACUGGCCUUUUGAAAGGAUCCAGGUAGAUUUCACUAGUCGGGAAACACAAAUUCUUAUUAGUCAUAGUAGACAAACUAACCCACUGGGUAGAAGCUUUCCCAAGCUCCCAGGCUACAGCCCAAACAGUAUCAAAGGUCUUAUUAGAAGAAAUUAUACCUCAAUAUGGGUUAGUAAGCUACAUUGAUCUGAACCAGGAGACACAUUUCACAUCAAAAAUCAUUAAGCUAUUAGCAGAUGCUUUAGGCAUUCGAUAGGAAUACCACACCCCAUAGCACCCUCAGAGUUCUGGGCCACUCAAAAGAAUUAAUCAAAUGUUAGAAGUCCAAUUAGCCAAAUUGGUGUUAAAAACAAAUGUCAUAAAUAAAAUACAUCCCAUUAGCCUUAUUAAACAUAAGAACUAUGCCUCAUUCUGAAAUGGGAUUUCCACCUUCUGAAAUGUUACAUGGGAUACCUUAUACCCAUAGUAUGCCUGUAGGGCAUCCGGGAGUAAAGAAUAGACAGACACAACCAUACCUGAUAGCAUUGAAUAAGGAUCUCAAGGGGGUGAUCAUGCAACACAGCAACCCACCCCACCUUAGACUUUUUAAUAUAUACAGCAAUAAGUAAAAUACAUCCUGAAGACAAAAUACUGGUAAAAACAUAAAAAGAGUCAACAUUCACGCCUCAUUAAGAGGGACCCUAUAUUAUCCUUUUAACUACAAAUACUGCUAUACAAACUGCAGAAAAGAAGCAGACACACGCGUCAAGAAGUCAAUGUCCAGGACCGGGCACCAGAGUGGAAAAUCAUUCCCCCCCAGGAAUUUGAAGAUAAUCCUGUCCGGCCAAGUAAAAAACGGAGAGCAUCUCUAUCAAACGUUCUUUGCCAGAAGUGUAACUAUUAUCCUUUCAUACAUUUCUCUUGCAAAUACUGUCAUAAAGUUUAAAAUGUUCGUUACUGACUUAAAUCAAGUGGGUUGUGUGGGAAGUGCUCUGAGCAGGAAGAAGACCUGACUAGCCGUUUUCUGGUAAUAGCCACAAGGCUAAUAUUGUUCUAAUUAGAUUCAAUAAUCUAAGUUUUAGGUUUUUUUCUUUUUCUCAUAUCAAAAGGGAUUAAGGGGGAAAUUACAAACAAAAGCUAAAAUUAUUAUUGUUGAGUGUCAUAGGUUGAACAACAUACCCUGCAGUGCAGACACUAGUGAACUACACCAGUGAGGCAUUUUUAAACAGGGUAUGCGGCUUGGCCUUGGUAUGAAACCACAGACAAAGAUUCCUGCUGACAAGAAGAUGGCUCACCCCGCCGCUGGAUGCACCCCAGUGGGCGCUGGGAACGGCAGAGGGAUCCUAGCAGUGGGAGUAGUCCCGGCGAGCCUGAGCCUAACCUCGUGCUUCAGUAACCUCCCCAAUCCUGAGAAGGGGGAACUCAGUGACAAAUACCCAGAAGAAAUCGCCUCUUACCUCAUAGAACUGCAGCAGGGGCGCAGGUGAGACUGGGUGUAGAUUGGAAACUGAUUUACAAGUAAGAAGGUACAGCUCGCCAGGAGAUGGGCCAUGUCUGGGGAGAUACAGAAACCCCAGGUACUGAUCGUUAGCGUGAACGACCCGAAAUGGAUAUCAUGGAAAUCCUGAGGCAGAUACAUGUGAAUACAGCGUUCCCGUAAAUUUCAUCAAAGGAUUCAACAAACUCCAGACAGUGAUUUGUUCUCCCUCAUCACCAAAAAGGAAAAUCUUAUUAACAUAUGGACUCUGAAUAGAAGAAAAGACUGAUUGCUGAAAUCUUGGCCUCAGGCAGAAUUUUCCCUAUAAAAACCGCUUGUGCCAGGAUGGAGGGGUGUGGGCAUGGAGGAAAACCUCUACUGAGGCUGACCUCUUUGUUGCACACCCAGGGCCGACCCCGGGCUCGGCUCUGUUCUUUCCUUGUGGCUGGCUAGAUAAAAUUUGAUUGCAAAAUAAAUAUUUUAUUUUUCAUAU
rnacentral:lncRNA from 1 species